CAUUCUCGAGGCAGGCUGCCCCUCAGCUGCUGCAGAGUUGCAGCCCGCCAUCACACGCAAAUCACACUCCGGGAGUUGCCCCUCCUCUGCGUCACAUUGGCAAGACUUUGAGGAAUCCAAUUGCGCUGCCGGAUCAUCCCCAAGGUCGGCUGAACUUCAUUGCACAGCUCUCGCCAGUUACACGCCUUGAUGACCAACCAGAUAAAGGUCAACUCACCCGACAAGAUGACAGGAUGGCGUUUGUCGUCGUCCAAGAUGGCGUGCUGGAGAUGCUCUCCAAAGAUGCUCUGGCUAUCUAGAAUAGAACUGAGACAGAUGGCAACGGCCGCUUCAACAAUAGGCGUGCGUCCUCUAGCUCGUUUGCAGACAGGACGCUACCAGGAGAAUAGUCCGGUUUCGUUGCGCCAAGCUUGCAUUUCCUCGGCGCAAAAGCCUCCGUCGGGCGCAGCAGCAGUUAGAGCGGUUAGAAAGCAAAGAGGGCAUCAAUACUGGCUCUUCCUCGGGAGGAAGUUGCGCUCCAGCUGCAUGGAUUCAGGUUCGCAUCUCGAGCAGUCCUUCGUUGCUGGAUAGGCCGGCUAGGGCCAGCCAUGAAGACAUCUCACGCCGGAGCCAAGAAGGAUCCCGCGAUCGGAGUUGAUGAGCAACAAGCUCGUUGAAGGGCUUCCUGCUAUCAAAACUGCUGCCCAAGAACGGAUUGAUUCUCAUCGGUCCGGCACUGGUGAGACAGCGCGCGGCGUGGAGCGGCCGUCGGUCUGACGGUUCCCGAAAGGAUCCAUGCUAAGGAUCCAUGUUGUUUUCUGCGCCACUGGUUCGUGCGGCGCUACCCAUCAAAAGUCCGGUUGGAGGCGUAGACAUCCGCGCAUAGCAAGAAGUCCACCGGCUCCGCAGCCAGGAAGUUUAGAUCGGCGAGCUCCAUCCCGCUGAUAUGGCUCCAUCUUCAUCUGGCCGUUUUGAUGCCGCCUUUGUACAGAGUGAGCCGGAAAAGGACUAUCAUCGGAAGAUUUCCUUCCAGCGAUAAUAUAUAUAUAUUUGAGAUUUGGAGCGAGACCAGUGCGCAUAGUCCGUUUUUUUUCCGCCGACACCGAAACACAGAGAGGUGAGCGGAAAAUUACGGAUAAAGAUCACCCUUCGUCGCUCACUCCACAUACAGUCAUCGGACCAAUUCGGAAA